rnacentral:rRNA from 1 species
UACGAAGGGGGCUAGCGUUGCUCGGAAUUACUGGGCGUAAAGCGCACGUAGGCGGCUUUCUAAGUCGGGGGUGAAAUCCUGGAGCUCAACUCCAGAACUGCCUUUGAUACUGAAGAUCUUGAGUUCGGGAGAGGUGAGUGGAACUGCGAGUGUAGAGGUGAAAUUCGUAGAUAUUCGCAAGAACACCAGUGGCGAAGGCGGCUCACUGGCCCGAUACUGACGCUGAUGCACGAAAGCGUGGGGAGCAAACAGG